AGAGUUUGAUCCUGGCUCAGAUUGAACGCUGGCGGCAUGCCUUACACAUGCAAGUCGAACGGUAGAGGGGUAACCCUUGAGAGUGGCGAACGGGUGAGUAAUAUAUCGGAACGUGCCCAGUCGUGGGGGAUAACGUAGAGAAAUUUACGCUAAUACCGCAUACGAUCUACGGAUGAAAGCGGGGGAUUCGCAAGAACCUCGCGCGAUUGGAGCGGCUGAUAUCAGAUUAGGUUGUUGGUGAGGUAAAAGCUCACCAAGCCGACGAUCUGUAGCUGGUUUGAGAGAACGACCAGCCACACUGGGACUGAGACACGGCCCAGACUCCUACGGGAGGCAGCAGUGGGGAAUUUUGGACAAUGGGCGAAAGCCUGAUCCAGCAAUGCCGCGUGUGGGAAGAAGGCCUUCGGGUUGUAAACCACUUUUGUACGGAACGAAACGGUCCGCUUUAAUACAGUGGGCUAAUGACGGUACCGUAAG
rnacentral:rRNA from 1 species